GUGUUUGCUUUAGCAGCACAUACACUAAAAUUGGAAUGAUACAGAGAAGAUUAGCAUGGCCUUUGUGCAAGGAUGACACAAAUAUUCGUGAAGUGUUUCAUAUUUUU
rnacentral:snRNA from 1 species